CUCUCCUCUUCUCUUUGUUUCUCGUUAUUUUUCAUCUGCUCUUUCUUUCUCUCUUCUUCUUCUCUUUCAUCUUCUAACCACUACCGGCGAAACUGACCGCCGAAACUGAACCAACACCGAUAUCAACAACAACCACCAACAACAAAACCGCACAACAACCAGUUCGGGUUUUAAGAUUAAGGCAAAACGGUGUUUUUUUCUCCCUUUCUCUCUCUUCCCAUGUUCAAAAUGAAGGCUUUCAGGUCAAAAUGAAGGUUUGGCCUCGUAAACCCGAUUUCAAGGUUUUGUGCGGUUGAAUUAAGGAAGCUUUAGAGAAAGGACUGCCGGCGUACCGGCAUUUAUUUUGUCAUUACCCGGAAGACAAAUAUGUGCAGACACUAACAUACCAACAGUUCCUAGUUGGAUCAGAGAUUCUGAUGGCACCUGUACUAGACAUAGGCAAAAGAGAAGCAAAUGUGUAUUUUCUCUUAGAAAAUAAAGAAAGUUGUUCUUGGAUUCGUAUUUGGACAGGAAAGGUGUACAAUUGCUUAGGUACUGAAUUUUAAGAGAAGCAAACAUAUAGGAGCACCCACUCACACACACAAAGACUAAACAGAAUUUAAAGCCUUUUGAUAGCUUUGACUUUUGAUCUACAAAGUCUACAAGAUUCAAAGUGAAGAAAAACUAAAGAAUCAAACCAAA